rnacentral:tRNA from 1 species
GGGGUUGUGGCUCAAGGGUAGAGCACUCACCUCACAUGUGUGAAGCCCUGGGUUCAAUACUCAACACCA